rnacentral:rRNA from 1 species
GACGAACGCUGGCGGCGUGCCUAAUACAUGCAAGUCGAGCGAACAGAAAAGGAGCUUGCUCCUUUGACGUUAGCGGCGGACGGGUGAGUAACACGUGGGCAACCUACCCUAUAGUUUGGGAUAACUCCGGGAAACCGGGGCCAAUACCGAAUAAUCUCUUUUGCUUCAUGGUGAAAGACUGAAAGACGGUUUCGGCUGUCGCUAUAGGAUGGGCCCGCGGCGCAUUAGCUAGUUGGUGAGGUAACGGCUCACCAAGGCGACGAUGCGUAGCCGACCUGAGAGGGUGAUCGGCCACACUGGGACUGAGACACGGCCCAGACUCCUACGGGAGGCAGCAGUAGGGAAUCUUCCACAAUGGGCGAAAGCCUGAUGGAGCAACGCCGCGUGAGUGAAGAAGGUUUUCGGAUCGUAAAACUCUGUUGUAAGGGAAGAACAAGUACAGUAGUAACUGGCUGUACCUUGACGGUACCUUAUCAGAAAGCCACGGCUAACUACGUGCCAGCAGCCGCAGUAA